ACUCAAAGGAAUUGACGGGGACUUGCACAAGCGGUGGAUCAUGCGGCUCAAUUCGAUGACAAACGAAGAACCUCACCAGGGUUUGAAACCCAGACGAUAGUCCCGUGAAAGCGGGAUCUCCGCAAGGCGGCUGGGCAGGUGAUGCAUGGUCGUCGUCAGUUCGUGGCUUGAGUUGUUCCCUUCAGUGGGGUAACGAACGCAACCCUCGUUGCCUGUUUUACAUGUCAGGCGAGACUGCCCCCUCACGGGGGAGGAAGGUGAGGAUGACGCCAGAUCAGCAUGUCCCUCUGAUAUCCUGGGCUGCACGCAUGAUACAAUGCACAAGACAACGCGACGCGACGGGGUAACCCUGAGCAAAUCGUAAUAAACUUGUGCCCAGUUCGGAUUGAGGUCUGCAACUCGACCUCAUGAAGCCGGAAUCGCUAGUAAUCGCGGGUCAGCUAUACCGCGGUGAAUACGUUCUCAAGUCUUGUACACACCGCCCGU
rnacentral:rRNA from 1 species